GUGUUUUCAUCAUGAACAUUGGAUCAAGUUAAUUAUUUUGGUCCUAUUAAUUAUUAUUUAUUCAGGCUAAAGUUCAAUUGAAUCGAGAAAUAAGUUUAAUUUAGCCCAAAUGCUACAUAAGACUCAAAUCUAUAUGGUUGGAUCCAUAGGAUUCGAUCUCAUAGACCAACCAAGCUCAAGCUCAUAAAACCCAUAAGACAACUCUAUAAAUAGAGAAGUCCUCUUUAUUUUGGGGUUUAGAAAAUCUUACUGUAGAGAGCCUAUAGAGAAUUCUUCCAACAACAAGAAAACUCAGUAGCUCCUGAAGAAUGAGUCAUUCCUUGAAACUCAAGUUCUUUGGAGAUACAAAUAUUCUGCAAAAACUCCAAUUUCAAGAACAUCAAGCGCUUUGCUUCCUCAAAUCAAGUGUAGACAUUCAACAAGAGAGAAUCAGAGAAUCAAGUACCAGAGAUUAAACCACAUCGCAUCAAAUCAACACAAACAAAAUAUCAACACAAGUUCAACUCCACGAAACACAUUUCUCCAAAAACCUCAUACGAACAUAUCUUCCUUACACCUUUCUAAACUGGAAGUCUACCUCAAAAACUAGACUCAAAAUGGAAGCUCUUGGUACUAGUAUUAGAGGAAACACACAAGUAAAAUGGAGGUUGAAAAUGACUUAUUUAUAGGAUCCUUUGCAUGACUUUGAAAUGACAUCUCCAACUUGCAUGGUUGUCUCUCAACGCCUCUCGCUUGCUAAAUCUAGGUGUUUGCAUGCAAUAACACUUGGAUUCCACUUCUACCUCUUGCCAAAAACACCUAAAGCUUCUUUUGCUUGCAUGAUCUCUCUAUGCACACAACCAAGCCUUGCCACACACCCUCCCACGUGGCCCUUGCCCGUGUGCCUUGUCUUGGUCGCGUGACAUCCAUCUUAACACCUAGUGUGGCUCUUCUCACCUACCCAUGCUCGUCAACACUUGGCCGCAUGCUUUUGGUUGCAUGUCUUGGCCGCAUAGUCUUAUCCUUAAAGGUUCUCGUCACACAUCUUGCCGCCUAGUUUUACCUGCAAAUCCCUCUCCUCGUGUGUCUUCAUGCCUUUGGUUGCAUGGUCAUCUCGCCGAGUGUCAAAAGGCCUUGUCAAAAUGCCUAGCAUUGCUUGCCUUUGGAGAAUAACGUUCAUAAAACCAAGGAAGUGGAGAAGGCUAUGUAAGAUUCAAAACACAGAGAGGCGUUCAACCAAGAGUCAUCAUAUCCCCCAUUUCUACCUUCUCCAUUUCCUAAUCGCCUCAAGAACAAAGGCAACGAACUCCAGUUCCAGUGUUUUCUAGACAUACUGAACAAACUUCAUAUGAUUAUCCUGUUUGUGGAACUGUUAGAGAAAAUGCCUUCAUUUGUCAAAUUUCUUAAAGACACACUAACAAAGAAAAGAAGGUUGAAUACGUACGAAACAGUGGCUCUAACGCAAGAAGCAAGCGAUAUCUUCAAGAUGGAUUUCUAGAGAAGACGAAACAUCCAAAAAGCUUCGUAGUUCCCUUUUUUUGUUUAGCAUCUUUUAUUGCUUUCAUUUAUUGUUUUCUUUUAUUUCAUUAUUUUACAGCUUUCUUUAUCA